GCCCGGAUGGCGAAAUCGGUAGACGCAGCGGACUUAAAAUCCGCCGGCUUCGCGGCCGUGCCGGUUCGAGUCCGGCUCCGGGCACCA
rnacentral:tRNA from 3 species